UCAGGGCUACGGAGCCAACACACUUCACCUCUGGGUGAACUUCAUCUUUUAUUUUUUCUGGGAUAUCUUCUCCCAUAACCUAUAACAGGAGGAAAAAAAAAAACUGUCCCAAUAAAAGAGGCAGAGACAUGGAAUGCUAGUUAUCAACUGCGAAGGCUUUCAUUCAAAGGCAGAAAAUACUUGAGCAGCCAGGGGACAUUCCCAACACAUUGAAAAGAUGUUUGUUCAGAAGUAGUUAUCCGUCUAUGGCCAUACCACCCUGACUGUGCCCGAUCUUAUCUGAUCUCAGAAGUAGUUAUCCAAGGACAAAUAAAAUAUCCCAUAUUUCUACCCUCAUUCUCCCCAAGUGAAAGAAUCACUUUGGUGCUGCUGCAGCAGCAGUACUAUUUGGCUUACCAGGAGUACUGAGUUACCCUUUUUGUUUCAAAGAGCAUAUUCUGUUGGUGAGAAUGCAACUGUAGCAUGUAGCUGGGCCCACCUUUUCCUGACCCAAAAGGACUCUAAUCCCUCUAUAACCAAAGCAAUCUUGGGGAUUUAAGGAGCCCGUUACCAAUGAAGGUACAAUACUGCUCCCUACUGGUCAGAAUCAGGCCCAGAUGAACACAGGGUCAUGUCCCAAGAUUCUGGGUUAGUUUCUUUGAGAAGACAUCACAAAGUUAGGUUGUAGAAAGCUUGUACCUGAACCCACUAAGUAAGCAGACUGACCUUGGGUAAUGACAAUGAACUAAAAUUAAGUUCCAAAACAUUUCAUACCAUCUGUCACGAAAGCUUAUGUAGUCAUGGAGCAGGGAUGUUGUAGAGGGAAUUUAAGUUCCACAUAGAUUUGCAUUAGAUAAUCUCCAAGGUUCCUGCAAACCCGGAUAUUGAAUGUGUUCAUGAAAACUCAAAUUAUAAUGAAUUAGAAGCAGGCUCAAAUAAUGGUUUUGCGGACUGGGUUUAAAUCUUCAAAGAUUACAUAUUGUUUGAGGAAAUUGCCAGUGAGAGCCAAGCUUCACUAGGCAACAGUCAGUAUUUACUAAAGCCUGGUAUUUCACCAGUUCUAAGAUACUUUUUUGUUUUUGUAUUUUAACAUCUCUAAAAUCAAGAUGUAUCUGAGCCAGGUGUGGUGGUUCACAUCUGUAACACCAACACUUCGGAAGGCCGAGGCAGGAUGGUCGCUUAAGGCCAGGAGUUAGAGAACGGCCAGGGCAACAGAGCAAGAUCCCCGUCCCUACAAAAAAAAGUAUCAUUUUUUUGAGUCAGAGUCUCGCUCUGUAGCCCAGGAUGGAGUACAGUGGUGCGAUCUUGGCUCACUGUGACCUCUGUCUCCUGGGUUCAAGCAAUUCUCCCACCUCAGCCUCCAAAGUAGCUGGGACUACAGGCAAGUGCCACCAUGCCCAGCUAAUUUUUGUAUUUUUAGUAGAAACAGGGUUUCAUCAUGUUGGCCAGGCUGGUCUUGAGUUCCUGACCUCAACUGAUCCACCCGCCUUUGCCUCCCAAAGUGCUGGGAUUAUAGAUGUGAAUGAACCACUGUGCCCGGCCAAAAAAUUGUUUAAAAAUCAGCCGGGUAUGGCAGCACUCAACUAUAGUCCCAGCAACUACUUGGGAGGCGGAGGUGGGAAGAUGCCGUGAGCCCAGGAGUUGGAGGCUGCAGUGAGCUAUGACUGUGCCACUGCACUUCAGCCUGGGAGAUAGAGUGAGACCCCACCUCCAAAAAAAAUUUUAAAAAAUGUAUUUGAUAACCACUGGAGUGAGGCUCUAUGUGAUAGUGUAAAUGGCAUCUUAUUUUUCUUUUUUUUGGGGGGCGGGGGGUCAGAGUCUCACUCUGUCGCCCAGACUGGAGUGCAGUGGUGCAAUCUUGGCUCACUGCAACCUCUGCCUCCUGGAUCGAAGCUAUUCUCCUGCCUCAGCCUCCCAAGUAGCUGGGAUUACAGGCGUGCGCCACCAGGCCUGGCUAAUUUUUGUAUUUUUAGUAGAGACAGGGUUUCACCGUGUUACCCAGGAUGGUCUUGAUCUGACCUCGUGAUCCACCCGCUUCGGCCUCCCAAAGUGCUGGGAUUACGGGCGUGCGCCACCGCGCCCGGCAGGCAUCUUAUUUUUCUUUUAGUGACACAUCAAAUGAUAUGUCUUAAAACUGAUGAUUUCCUGGAUUCAGUGAAAUGUAGUAUUUUAAAAUCUGGGAUAAAACACCAAAAAUGCCUUUCUUAAAAAAAGAUAAAUGAAUAAUAGUAAGACCCAAACAACACACUAUUCCCAAAAGAGGGACAGAUAGGCACAAUAUUUACAGGUGUCAAAAAUCUGCCAAAACAUUCAGCCACAUAAACAUUUUAAACUUCCAUAUGCCAAAAAAAAUCAUAAACUUCAGAAAAUAUAGUAACUAUAGAAAGAUACUUAAGUCUAAUAUAGGGAGAACUCUUAAAAUUGCUAUGAAAAACAGAAAGAAUAAUGAAGCAAAAGCAAGACUAGGCAUUUGACAUGAUACAAAUGGCCAAUAACACAUGAAAAAAUUGUUCAUCUUAAUAGUAAAUAAACAUUAAUGCUAAAAACAUUACAUUUUUAUCUACCAAGCUACCAAUUUUUAAAGUAAUAUUAUUAAGUUAAAUUAUAUAAAACAGAGGUCAAAAUGAUUGAUUUCACAUGGUUCAAUCUAAUAGUCAGGAUCAGGGUAGAAAAAACAAUGCUUUCACAUAUUGCUAGAGGAUAUAUAAAUUGAACUAACCUUUCUAAAUGAUAAUUUGGAAAUGUGCUUUAAGUCUUUAAAAAUGCUCAUAUAUUUAAAUCCAGCGAUUCUAUUUCUAAUAAUCUGUUCCAAAAGGUACAAAGGCACAUAUUGAUUUUCUUGCAAGGAUUUAUUAAAAUAGGUACUGAGUAUUUGUUAAAUGUUCAACACAGGGAACUAAGUAAAUUAUAGUUUGUCCAAAAAUUGACUAUCCAGUCAUUAAAAAUUAUGUACUCAAAUAAUAUUUAGGAUAUAGGGUCAUGCCCAUGUCAUAAUGUUAGGUAAAUAUCAGAACAUAGAAAAUAAAAUGUACAGUUUGGUAGUUCCUAAAAAAGUUAAACAGAGCUAAUAUAUGACCCAGUAAUUCUACUCCUAGGUAUAUACCCAAAAGAAUUAAAAACAGAGACUUAGCCGGGUGCAGUGGCUCAUGCCUGUAAUCCCAGCACUUUGGGAGGCCGAGGCAGGCAGAUCACUUGAGAUCAGGAGUUCGAGACCAGCCUGGCCAAUAUGGUGAAAGCCCUUCUCUACUAAAAACAUAAAAAUUAGCUGGGCAUGGUGGCACACGCCUGUAGUCCCACCUACUUGGGAGGCUGAGACAGGAGAAUUGCUUGAACCUGGAAGGCAGAGGCUGCAGUGAGCCGAGAUAGUGCCACUGUACUCCUGCCUGGGUGACAGAGCAAGACUCCGUCUCAAACAAAAAAAACAAACAAAAAAGGAGACUUAAACAUACUUAUAUGCUAAUGUUCAUAGCAGCAUUAUUCACAAUAUCCAAAAGGUAGAAACAACUCAAGUAUCCAUCAAAAGAUGAGUAGAUAAACAAAAUGAGAUAUGUACAUAUAUAUGAAUAUUAUUUAGCCAUAGAAGGUAUGAAGUUUUGAUAAAUGCUAAAUAUGGAUAAACCUUGAAAACAUUAUGCUAAGUGAAAUAAAGCAGACACAAAAGGACACAUAUGGCAUGAUUCCACUUAUUUGAAAUAUCUAGAAUAGAUAAAUUCACAGAGAAAAAUAGUAGAUUAGAGGUUCUAGUGGGUAGAGAGAGAAGAAAAUAGGGAGUUAUUGCUUAAUGGGUAGAGUUUCUGUUUGGGGUGAUGAAAAAAUUUUGGAAAUAAUGGUCAUGGCGGCACAACACUGUAUACGUACUUAAUACCAUUGAAUUGUACAUUUAACAAUGAUUAAGAUGGCAAAUUUAAGUUACAUAUUUUAUCAGAGUAAAAAAGAAAGAGGGAGAAGAGCAGUUGUUAUAGAAUAAAAAAGACAUGAGACAAAAGGGCCACAUAUAGUAUUUAGACCUUAUUUGGAUCCUAAUUCAAAUAAAAGAAUUACAAACAGGAAAAAAAAGCAUGUGAUCAUAGAAUAUUUAAGGAUACAGGGCUAUGUUAUUACAAGUCAACUAAAAUUAAAAGCACAAAAUAAAGGCCAGGCAUGGUGGCUCACAUCUAUAAUCCUAGCACUUAGGGAGGCCAAGGCGGGACGAUCAUUUGAGGCCAGGAGUUUGGGACCAGACUGGGCAACAUAGCAAGACCCUGCCUCUACAAAAAAUUUUAAAAUUAGCUGGACAUGGUGGUGGGUGCCUGUAAUCCUACGAACUUGGGAGGCUGAGGUGAAAGGACCACUUGAGCCUAGGAAUUUCAGGCUGCAGUGAGCUAAGAUUAUGCACUGCAGCCUAGCCUGAGUAACAGAAUGAGACCUUUUAAAAAAUAAAAAUAAGCACAAAACAAAAUGUACAUUAUAAUCCUAAUUACAAUCCUAACGAGGGCCCAGACAUUUUCCAUCUUUUUAAAAAGCUCCACUGGUAUAUCACAUGCAUUGUCUACACAGGAAACUACUCUUCCACCCAACCAACAGAUUUAUCGAGCAUGGUGAAGAAUACAAAGAUGCUCAAAACAUACUAUUACUUAUAAGGAACCUAGUAUCUAGUUGAAAACAUAAGAUACAUUCUUAUGUCUUCUUAGGGCCCAAAGAGCUAUCUAUUCAAGCAAUCACUAUCUGAGCUCAGAGGAAGGAGAAAUGACCACAGAGCAGAAUAUUCCGGAAAAGCUUCCUGGAGGAUGUGGAACUUGGGAGAAUUAAAAGACUGAUCAGAAGUGUUUUUUUGUGUUUUGUUUUUUGAGAUGGAGUCUCCCUCUGUUGCCCAGGCUGUAGUGCAGUGACACAAUCUCGGCUCACUGCAACCUCCACCUCCCGGGUUCAAGCAAUUCUCCCGCCUUAGCCUCCCGAGUAGCUGGGAUUACAGGUGCCUGCCACCUCAACCGGCUAGUUUUUUGUAUUUUUAGUAGAGAUGGGGUUUCACCAUGUUGGCCAGGCUGGUCUUGAGCUCCUGACCUCAAGUGAUCCACCCACCUUGGCCUCCCAAAGUGCUGAGAUUACAGGAAGUGUUCUGAUGAGUAGUUCCAUUUUAGACAUUUUGUACUUGAAGUGACAGAAGAGUAAUCAAUAAUUAUCCCAGGUUAACCACCUAGUAGGCAAUUAAUCUGAUGUGAGACACAUGUCCCAGAGAUGAGACUAGAGAUAAAGACUGGAGAGUAAUCAACCCAGAGGUGACAAUGGAACCUAGGGGUGUGGUGAUGAUUUCUGUGACAGAAAAGUAGAAAACAGAGAGGCCAAGGGAAUCUUUAGCAUGCCAUUACUUACGCUACAGAAGAAACCAGCUGAGUCCCAAGAGGCAGAGGAACGUUAAGAAACACAGGAGAAAAACAAACCAGUGUAGCCUCUCAGAAGUAAAAGGAAGAGAUCAGGCAUGGUGGCCCAGGCCUGUAAUCCCAGCACUUUGGGAGGCCGAGGUGGGUAGAUUGCUUGAGGCCAGGAGUUCAAGACAGACUGGCCAACAUGGUGAACCCUGUCUCUACUAAAAAUACAAAAAUUAGCAGGGCGUGGUGGCACAUGCCUGUGAUCCCAGCUACUCGGGAGGCUGAGACAUGAGAAUCGCUUGAACCCAAGAGGUAGAGGUUGCAGUGAGCCGAGAUCGUGCCACUGCACUCCAGCCUGGGAGACAAAGCAAGACUCUGUCUCAAAAAAAAAAAAAAGUUAAUGAAGGUUUACAUGUUAGUUUAAAAAAAAUUACCUUUGAAUUUCUAUGCAACCAUCAAAGUAGUAACAGGGUAGAGCAGGAAUAAAAUGGACUUGCAGCUGGCAAACACAAGCUCCAGACCAGCUCUCCCACUGAAAAUCUGACCGCAGGCAAGUCACAAGUUCUCUGAGCCUCAAUUCUAGCUCUACUCAACUUCACAAGCUGUUAUGAUGAAUGGAGGAAAAAAAAUAGAACUGCUACACAAAUGUAAGCAUUCAUUCAUUCAUUUAUUCAGCACUGAAACAAACAAUUAUUGGGCAUUGAUGAUGUUCAGGCAGGCAGGUGCUAACAAGCACUGACAA
rnacentral:lncRNA from 10 species